CUAAGUUAACCGCGAUUCACCAAACCCUCACCUCUCGCCUCACACACUUGCUUCUCUCCUUAUACGGUCUGUCCGCUGCUUUCCGCGCCAUCCCCCUUCGCUAGCUCUUCGCCGUACAUCCCCCCUACAUCACCCUCUCUCGCAAUCAUGGGGUUCGAAGCUCUCCGCGGCCGCAUGGAUGUGGCGCUGAGUAUGCUGUGCUCGUGCAUCGUGUUCGUGUUCCUCGUGACGUCUGCGCCGAUCUCGCAGUUCCGUGGCAGGGGCAUCAACGCUAGCGCCACUGGCGGCGCAAGCAAGUUGUCGUGCGUGACCGUGUGGGGCCUGAAGAAUGACUGCAACGCCAACAACUACGACUACCGCCCGACGAGCAUAGGAUGCGCACGCUCGAAGCAGCUGUUCCAGGUGUCGGAGGCGUUCUACAUUCUCGCCGUUAUUGUGUCGUUCCUGUCGUGCCUGAUGAGCGGGCUGUACUUCAUGGGCAUCAAGGCAAAGGUGCUGCUGGUCCUGCUUGCCGUCCUUGAGGUUGCGUUUGCGCUGAUCCCAUGGGUGUGCAUGACGGCGGUGUGGUACGGCAACUACUGCGGCGGGUCGACCGUGAAGAUCAACACGUCGAGCGGCAAGGCGGACGGCGUGCCGCACGGCUCUGUGCUGCGUGAGUCGUUCAAGGUCAGCGCUGGCUACGGUCUGACGGUUGCGGCAUGGUGCACCCAGGUGAUUGGCCUGGUGCUGCUGAUUGCCAUGUAGGCUCGUUAUGCCGGGCGUUGCGUGUGCGUGCUUGUGCGAGCCGGUGCUGCUCGCAGAACUGUAGUGCGCAAAGUUGCCCACGCCUGCGCUUCGGCUCGCUCAGCGAGCGCACCCCGCCUGCUGCUUUGCUCACGGGAUACCACGACUGCCACGCCGAAGAGGACUCGAUUUUACUGUGAAUCGCCGGUGGUCUCCGCCCACGCGGAGGUUGCUUGCGGGUGUGCGUGCGCGAGUGGUGGCCGCAAGUCAUUUAUACCCACGGUUCCCCUUCUGUUUUGUUCUUUGUCAUGCCAUACAGAAAACGUUUCUCUUUCCAUUCUUUUCUUUCUUACUGUCUUAAUGGGGUCAGCUGGCGGCUGCUGCGCUGCUGUGGCGGUGCCCACUUUGGGUCCUCGCGCGGUGCCGUCCGUCACAUGCUGCCCCUUUGCCGCACAAAAUCCAGUGAAAAUUCUGCCUGUUCCUUUCUAUCCCCUCCAGAGACUGUCGCCCGGUGCGGCGCCUGUGCCUGCUGCUGUCCUGCUCCUGUGCGCCUGCCGCACUGCGCCGCGGUGGGGUGCAAGGGCACUGGACGCAGACCCGCUUGAUCGCGGGCGGUGACGCUGCACUCGGUGGGCUGAAAACGUUCUCUUUUUCGUUUGUGCGCCGUCUGGCUGAUUUUGAUGGCUGUGGAAAGCAAGCGUGAGCGUGUGUUGAGCUCCCUUUUCC
rnacentral:misc_RNA from 1 species